rnacentral:rRNA from 1 species
ACGAGUUUGAUCCUGGCUCAGAGCGAACGUUUGCGGCGGGCUUAACACAUGCAAGUCGAACGGGCUGUUCUUCGGGGGCAGUCAGUGGCGCACGGGUGCGUAACACGUAGGUAAUCAACCCUCUGGUUGGGGAUAACACUUCGAAAGGAGUGCUAAUACCCGGUAUGGCGCAGCGGUCUUCGGAUCGCGGCGAGAAAGACCCGCAAGGGUUGCCAGAGGACGAGCCUGCGGCCCAUCAGCUAGUUGGUGGGGUAACGGCCUACCAAGGCGAAGACGCGUAGCUGGUCUGAGAGGAUGAUCAGCCACACUGGCACUGAAACACGGGCCAGACUCCUACGGGAGGCAGCAGUGGGGAAUAUUGGACAAUGGGCGCAAGCCUGAUCCAGCCACGCCGCGUGAGUGAUGAAGGCCUUCGGGUUGUAAAGCUCUGUGGGGAGGGGCGAAAACGGCCGGUAAGAAACGACCGGUCCUUGACGGUACCUCCUUAGCAAGCACCGGCUAACUCUGUG